AUCCCCUCGCCCCUCGCUGAGGG
rnacentral:misc_RNA from 1 species